UUUUUAAGGUCAACGAUGACGCUUUUAUUCCAUUAUCGAUUGCUACUUCUGAACUUAGGUUGUUUUGUAAAGAGAUACGAAUGGCUUAUAUAUGUGCUAAGCUAGUAUGGUGGUUAGAGUUUUCAUAUUGUGGUCCAAUAAUUGAGUUCUUCCACUGUAGUGUUGGAAGUUGAUGGGCUAAGAUUAUAUGAUGGGCUAUUGAUUAAGGAUGUUGGAAUGUAUGUUGAUUAUAUGUUUAAUAAGUGUUUCUAGUCAGUUAUGAUUUGAACUUUUUAUUAUAGUAAUGAAUUGAGAUGGUAGGAGCUGGUGUUGAAGUUGAAACCCUUAAAAAUAU
rnacentral:lncRNA from 1 species